rnacentral:SRP_RNA from 2 species
CAGAUCGCUGGGCGCGGCGUAGGCCGACGAACCUGGUCAGGGGGGAAACCCAGCAGCCAUAAGUUGAUACCUACGGGUGUGUCCAGCGGUUUGAUU